rnacentral:lncRNA from 10 species
CGGUCCCCAGAUGCGAGCACUGCCAAACAGCCAAAAGGAGGGGUCCUGCCUGCCGAGGCCCAUCUGCUGGAGCUGAUCCAAGGCCAAGGCUGGUGAUGGCUGAGGCCCUGAGACCCUAAGACCCCAGCAUCUGCACAGGGCAGUCAUCGUGGGUUAUCCCCAGGCACCUGGCCUCCACCAUGUGAGGAGCAGGGAAUUAGGGAAAAAAAACUAAAAGUCCAGGAAUUUAUGCAAAAGAAGUUGCAUCGCCCAAGAGAGAUAGCUUGGAAGGAAGUACUGCAAUACCAGCAAUGAAUGACUAAAAUCGCCCCCCGCUAUGUGGAAGGUGGGAGCCCUCAGAGAGAUUAUGCUGGUGACAGAGAACAACGAAGCUCCCCCAGUGCCUAAGGCCACCCUUGACCUGUUCUUCACGUGUCCAGCCUACUCUCCCAGCUCUGCUCAGAUCUUCCAGCACAAAGCCCUGGACAAGUGUAAACCCAGCAAGACCUGCCUCUCAGGCUGCCCAGAGACCAGGAGUGCACCUGCUGUGCUAGGAGAUGACACAAGGUGACUGUGAGGCUGCCACUCUCGUGGUGUUUGCUGUCUUAGGUGACGGAGGCUGCAUAUGCUCCACCCUGGGGACGCAGGAGCCUGCAAGAGCCCCGUGCCUGUGCUGCAGGCAUCCUGGGACGGCGCUGCAUCAGGGACGUUUUGCGCCUCCUUCCGGCCCCCUCUUUCCCUUUUCUCAUUCCCACCUCCUUCUCCCAGCUCAGAGGUGUGUGAGUCUCAGCCACUCCCCAAAGCAAAACCCUCAUAGUUAGCCAGGGACCCAGGCAGGGGUCUGGCAAGGCCCCCUCCCACCUCUCAGACUCUUCUGUCUCCAGAGGCAGAACGUGCACGUGGGCAUCACAUUGACUUUGGGGACUUGCCUUCACCCCAGGGCGCUCCAGUCUGGUGGAUGCUGACUCUGACCACACCUGGGAACCAGUCUACACCUGGGUCUCAGCUCGUAGUGACAGUCCCUGCCAGCCCCGAGAUUUCCAGGGGCAGCACCGCCCCUGAGGUACAUGGACCCCACCGCCGUCCACACAGCGCACACCCACACGUGUAUCCGAAUCUGCGAGCAGCAUAUGUGCUGUGGGUACAGGUGCUGCAACCUUAGCUGACGGAUUAUGAAACUGAGCCUGCAGAUCUGAGCCCGUUGUCCGAGAUCCGUGCUCUCAUUUCCUAAUCCACUUCCAAAAGCCAUUUUCCCAUACUAAGGGCAAGACUUUCAGCCAGACACUAGGAGGAUUUGAAGAGAAAGAAGCUACAGUCUUUGUCUUUUAAAGGAAUCCAAUCUUGAAGCCCGAAUGAGGCAUACGCAGAGGAACGCAGGCUACGAGACAAAAUGCGAUAAUGCACAACCACCAGCUAGAAGACACAAUGGAAGCCAAGGCCCCGUUUACGACAGCAACAAAAGAGAUAAAAUACCUAUGAAUAAAUUUAACAAGAAAUGGGCGAGACCUGUGUGAGGACAACUUCACAACAUUCAUGAAAAAAACAAAAAUGGAAAUUCACAUGGUCAGGAAAAGACAAAAUCCUAGAAAUGAAAUUUCUAGGUCACGUCACACCCAUUUAAAGGCUUCUUAUAGAGCUUGAGAAACUGCCCUCCUUAAAGGUAGAGGAAGCAGUUGAUGCCUCCUCCGUGGAGCUGUGUGUGAGUUUCCUCUCCGGGCAGUGUUUACCGCUGUGCAGAUAUGGCCUUUGGGGAGGACGGACAUAGCUUUGCAGAUGUUCUGAUAUAUUUGCCAUGGAAUCUAAAUAUACAGCCAUCAAUACCAGGUGUCAUCUAUGUUUUAAAGAACUGAGUAAGUUCCUGUUUUAUGGUUGAAACUGAAACUAAAGCCCUUUUUAUUACCUUACACUCAUAUUUCUAUGCCAGUCCUC